UACGUGAGGGGCCUAGCAUUGUCCGGAUUUAUUGGGCGUAAAGAGCUCGUAGGCGGUUCGGUAAGUCAGGGUGUGAAAUCUCCACGCUCAACGUGGAGGCGCCACCUGAAACUGCCGUCGAGCUCGAGGUCCGGUAGGGGAGUGUGGAAUUCCCGGUGUAGCGGUGAAAUGGCGCCAGAUAUCGGGGAGGAACACCAGCGGCGAAGGCGGCACUCUGGGGCGUGGAACUGACGCUGAGGAGCGAAAGCGUGGGUAGCAA
rnacentral:rRNA from 1 species